rnacentral:lncRNA from 1 species
CAAUAUCAAAAAUCCAUCUUAUAUCUGAGAAGGCUUCAUGAAUCGUUCUUUUGUUAGAAAUUCUCUUCGGAAUUGCCUUAAAUAUUCUAGGUGCAAGAUUAGCAAUUUUCUACCCAUAAAUCCAUUUAUCAAUCUAGAACAAAGUGUGUGCCCAAUUCCCAACUUCCGAGAGCAGCACCACCGGGAAGAAAGCUCGUGCUUUUUGCCUGACACUUGGAUAGGUAAACUACACAAUGUCCAACUAAGCUCUUUGAGACCGGAGAUGCAAGUCUGUCCAUCUAGAGAGGUCUACAAACACUUCCUCAUGCAACGAAGCAGUGCCCUUUCGACUUCAUUUCACCAUAUAAGGUUAUGUUUGGAUACUCUUAUAUUUACUUCGAUACAUAUGGUUGGGGUGGAUUGAGGGCUCGUUCGUUUCACCGUUAAUACAUGUGGAUUGAAUGGUAUUGAGUCGGUUUAAAUACAUAGCAAGUUAAAAUACAUCUCAAUACAUUCUAAUCCACAUGAAUUAGAAUAACCGAAAUACAUUCUAAUCCACAUGGAAUUAGAAUAACCGAACAAGGCAUGAGAUAUAAAUCGGUUUAAUUUACAUCUUAAUCCCCCUCAACCCAUGAGUAUUGGGAUGAAUACCAAGCCCUAAAGAAAACUUAUUCUGAUUUUUAUCAAUAGUCUUGAUAGCCCAAGAGGGAAUAUUAAUAACUAUAGAAAGAUACAUAAGCAUCCCAUUAAGCACAUAAUGUUCUUGCACUCUCGUGAAUAUGAUUUCCAUCCGGAGAGUUGAUCUACAAUUCUAUCUACAAAAGGUUGUAACUGAACAGAACAGCCAAAGAGGGCAGCUAAGGCAGCCACAUAUUCGUCAGACAAGGGUUGAUGGAAAAGCUUAGCAUACUCUUCUUCUAAGGCAUGGCAACUGAUGCAUUCAUCAUCUUCAAUAACCCUCAGGGUCUUUUGGCUGCAGUUCGUUUUUGUUUCUUUUUCUAACUAUUUGUUGCUUGCAGCCACACCGAUCAUUCUAUCUAACGAAUGAUUUCACACACCAUACAGUCACGCCUAAAUGGCAGCAAGUGCAUAUAGUACGAAACUCUCAAACAAGACACAACAGAUACUAAAUCCAAAAGGCGACCAGCCAAGUGUCAAUUGUAUGCCUAUAACAAAUGAGGUCAGAUAUCAUCACUCUUCAUCUCAGGGCCGUAACAGACAAAGGCCGGUUCUAGACAUGAGGAAGAUCAGUUCUCAGUUGUUACUCCGCCAGUGGAUGCCUGAUGAUCCCACGCCCUUCAUCCAGAAGGAAGCCGUUGUCCCUGAAGCACGCGCUGGAGAAGAACGGCUUCAGAUCGUAGAUCUCGUAUUCUUGGGCCUGGGUCAACACAGGUGCAGUCCAGAUGUUAGAGAGGUCACUCAGCUCGGUUGUCUUUUGUGUGGAAGCACUCAUGAAGGCUUACCUUGUUCCUCAGGUCCUCCAAUUUGACCUCGACGUGAGUAAGACGUGAGGCUGAUCCUGCCAUGAUUUCUUCGAAGUGCACGGCGUCCUUGACCAGUGUGCGCAGGAGCAGC